AGAGGGUGAAACUCCCGUCCGCCUGGUAGAAUGAGUCUUUGUCAACGAGUCGAGUUGUUUGGGAUUGCAGCUCUAAUUUGGUGGUAAAUUCCAUCUAAAGCUAAAUAUUGGUGGGAGACCGAUAGCGUACAAGUACCGUGAGGGAAAGAUGCAAAGAAACUUUGAAAAGAGAGUUAAAGAGUACCUGAAAUUUGCUGAAACGGAAGCGAAGGAAACCAGUGUUUGUGGUUCAUAUUUCCGUUGGCCACUUUGUGGUUUGGGCGCUGUGAGCUUGCGUGGGUUUGGUUGGUUGAUCCCUUUGGGAAGAGCGCAGUCCAGAGUUGAUGUCU
rnacentral:rRNA from 1 species